ACGCACGCUGGCGGCGUGCUUAACACAUGCAAGUCGCACGCUGAAGCUCAGCUUUUGUUGGGUGGAUGAGUGGCGAACGGGUGAGUAACACGUGAGUAACCUGCCUCCUUCUUUGGGAUAACGCCCGGAAACGGGUGCUAAUACUGGAUAUUCACUGGUCUUCGCAUGGGGGUUGGUGGAAAGGGUUUUUCUGGUGGGGGAUGGGCUCGCGGCCUAUCAGCUUGUUGGUGGGGUGAUGGCCUACCAAAGCUUUGACGGGUAGCCGGCCUGAGAGGGUGACCGGUCACAUUGGGACUGAGAUACGGCCCAGACUCCUACGGGAGGCAGCAGUGGGGAAUAUUGCACAAUGGGCGCAAGCCUGAUGCAGCGACGCCGCGUGAGGGAUGGAGGCCUUCGGGUUGUGAACCUCUUUCGCUCAUGGUCAAGCCGCAACAAUGGUUGUGGUGAGGGUAGUGGGUAAAGAAGCGCCGGCUAACUACGUG
rnacentral:rRNA from 1 species